CCACAAUCUAUAUCCAUAUUUUUACAUAAAAAAAAGUAAGACGUGAUGGGAUUUUCACUAUUUUAGACACGAUAAAAUUAGAUACUGACAUUAGCGAUGGCCAAUCGAGGCUUCAUUACCGUUCUUCUAGCAGCAGGAUAUUAUGCUAGCAAUACAACUAAGUGAAGAUAGGACUUACCACUCUGAUGGACGCACACAGGCUUUGACUACGAAAUGGAAGUUGACCAUGAGGGAAAUCAGGGGAGAGAACUUCUCAAUCUUAGGUCAUUACGGCAAUACCUAUGGCAAGCCGUUUUAUGAUUUAUUCGCUAUACUUGACUCUCCGGAAUUAACAUGACAGAUAUGAACUGUCAUGUCCUCCCUUCCCUGAGGUGCUCUGUCUUGGUUGCUCCAGGUUGUCAGGGCAACGCAUUAAGGGGCGUGGCGUCACUCUUUUGAAUAGAGCCGGUACCAGCUGUUCCCUAUCCCCAAUCACACACCUGUUCCCGCUUGACUCAUCACCGGCUGUAUAUCUGAGGAGCCCUGACGACCCGUCCCUGCCGGAUCGUUGAUCCACAUCCGAAUCUUCCUGACAACCUUCACCAGCCCGUGUAUCGACCUCCUGCCUGUCCAAGACGACUCUGCCUACUCCCUGUCUGUACCUCUGUCGCCAGCCCGUGUACCGAAACUCUGCUUGCCCACGACUACCCUCUCAUAUUAAAUUGAUUUUUACCGCACUCAUCCGGUCUGCGUUUGGGUUCCUUUCAGAUCUGACAGAACGAUCCGGCCUCUAUGAACCCAGCGGAUCUGGAUGCCGUCCGUCAGGCUGUGUCGAUGCAGGGCACCCUAUUAGGACACCACAGCACCUCGCUUCAGGAGAUAAUGACUAGCCUGCAAAACCUGUCUACCAGCGUGGCGGCUAUCCAGGAGCGACUCAAUGCAUCCGCCGAGCCCCCGGCCCCUGCUUCAGAUGUUGAAUAUUUACUUGGAAAGAACAGAGCACUUUAUACACAUGAAAAACAAAAAAAAAGGGCUGGCUAUGCAGAAAAACGUAACUCACCACAGAUGAACACACACAGAGACAUGGAACAAUGACCGACCAAUGAGGGGAGCAGAGGAGCAACAUUUAAAUACAUACUGAUGACUUAAUUGGGACCCAACGCCUUGGUGGCAGACAGUCCUCGGCAGGUUCUGGCGGCGGCAACCACUGGGCACCCGGCGGGUUCUGGCAGCGUCCGCCACUGGAGAGCAGGAGGAGCCGGCGGCGUCCGCCACUGGAGAGCAGGAGGAGCCGGCGGCGUCCGCCACUGGAGAGCAGGAGGAGCCGGCGGCGUCCGCCACUGGAGAGCAGGAGUAGCCGGCGGCGUCCGCCACUGGAGAGCAGGAGGAGCUUGCGGCGUCCGCCAAUGGAGAGCAGGAGGAGCUUGCGGUGUCGGCCACUGGGCAGCAGGGAGUGCAGGCUCCGGCUUCUGGACAGCAGGAAGUACCCGGCGCCUUGGAGCUGGCACCGGGCGUAGAGCAGGCGUUGGCGAGGUGCAGAGGCGGGCCGCAGACGCCAGCAUGUGGGCACUCUCCCCGUCCUUGGGGAAGGCCGGGACCACCUGGCACAGGACAGGGUCCCAAACCAGCAGCCCCUCCCUAUCUUACUCAUCAAAAUCCCUGUGCGUAUCCCUGUGACCAUGGCGGAGUGUGUUUACACACCUGCAGGUUCCCUUACUUUCUGGGUCGUGGUGGAGAGAAAGGAACCAGACGCAGGCAGAGUGGCAGUCGAUGUUGAAUAUUUACUUGGAAAUAACAAAGAGCACUUUAAACACACGAAAACAAAAGGGCUGGCUAUGCAGAAAACCGUAACUCACCAAAGAUGAACACACAGCAACAUGGAACAAUGACUGACCAAUGAGGGGAGCAGAGGAGCAACAUUUAAAC
ensembl:lncRNA